rnacentral:lncRNA from 13 species
CUGAAGACAGAAGAGGCUCCCUGAGUGUAUCUGCUCUUUCUUAGCUCUCCAACUGAUCAGGCUGCUAUCUCGAGCCUGCCUGAAUCCCAGUGUGGUCACCUUGUGCCCUGAGACUAGGGGACAGGUGAUGCCCAGCAGCCCGGCAGCCCCUUCCAGGAGGUAUUUGCUGGCCCUGCUCCUCUGCAUCCUGAAGGGGAGCCCACCCACCUGCAAGGGUCUUGCGCUGUCACUGAGGCUGGAGUGGAGUGUCACAAUCAUGGCUUACUGCAACCUUGACCUCCUGGGCUCAAGCUAUCCUCCCACCUCAGCCUCCUGAGUAGCUGGAACUACAGAAAGAAGAUAGAUGUGGUGCAUGAAUUAUCUGUGUUCGUGUCCAAGGCUGUGGUUAUGAAUGUGUGUGUAAUU